UACGUAGGGUGCAAGCGUUGUCCGGAAUUAUUGGGCGUAAAGAGCUCGUAGGCGGUCUGUCGCGUCUGCUGUGGAAACCCGGGGCUCAACCCCGGGCUUGCAGUGGAUACGGGCAGACUAGAGUUCGGUAGGGGAGACUGGAAUUCCUGGUGUAGCGGUGAAAUGCGCAGAUAUCAGGAGGAACACCGGUGGCGAAGGCGGGUCUCUGGGCCGAUACUGACGCUGAGGAGCGAAAGCGUGGGGAGCGAACAGG
rnacentral:rRNA from 1 species